ACUAAACAUAGGCUAUAAUGAACCAAAUCAUACCCAAAUCUUAUAAAUCAUACACCAAAUCUCAUGAACCAUAUUCAAAUCUCAUAAACCAAAUCUUAUGAGCCAUACCUAAAUCUCAUGACUCAUAUCCAGAUCUCAUAAGUCAUACACCAAGUUAAUGAACAAAAUCAUUCUCAAAUGUCGUGAACCAUAUACUAAGUUCAUGAACCAAAUCAUACUCAAAUCUUAUAAACCAUACACCAAGUUUAUGAAUCAAAUCAUACUCAACUCUUAUAAACCAUACACCAAGUUCAUAUGACAUUCUAUCGUGAGCCCAACUCUACCAUGAGCCAAGUUCAUAAACUGAACCCAACUCUACCAUGGGCCAAGUUCAUAAACUGAACCCAAUUUCAUCAUGAAUCUCAAUCUUUCGCUCUAGCACAUAUACCUAAAGUAAAAGUCAAAUGCAAAAUCGACUAACCCUAAUAUAUGUACUUA
rnacentral:lncRNA from 1 species